rnacentral:rRNA from 1 species
UACGUAGGGUGCAAGCGUUAAUCGGAAUUACUGGGCGUAAAGCGUGCGCAGACGGUUGCGUAAGUCAGAUGUGAAAGCCCCGGGCUCAACCUGGGAAUUGCAUUUGAGACUGCGUAGCUAGGGUGCGGAAGAGGGAAGCGGAAUUUCCGGUGUAGCGGUGAAAUGCGUAGAUAUCGGAAGGAACACCAGUGGCGAAAGCGGCUUCCUGGUCCAGCACCGACGUCAGGCACGAAAGCGUGGGGAGCGAACAGG